CCUACGGGAGGCAGCAGUGGGGAAUCUUGCGCAAUGCACGAAAGUGUGACGCAGCAACGCCGCGUGCGGGAAGACGGCCUUCGGGUUGUAAACCGCUUUCAGUUGGGACGAAGGUUCUGCGGUUAAUACCCGUAUGGACUGACUGUACCUUCAGAAGAAGCCCCGGCUAACUACGUGCCAGCAGCCGCGGUAAUACGUAGGGGGCAAGCGUUGUCCGGAAUCAUUGGGCGUAAAGCGCGUGUAGGCGGCUGAGCAAGUCCGCUCUGAAAGCCCGAGGCUCAACCUCGGGAGGCGAGUGGAUACUGCUCAGCUCGAGUCCGGAAGAGGAGUGUGGAAUUCCUGGUGUAGCGGUGAAAUGCGCAGAUAUCAGGAGGAACACCAAUUGCGAAGGCAGCACUCUGGGACGUGACUGACGCUGAGACGCGAAAGCGUGGGGAGCAAACAGGAUUAGAUACCCUGGUAGUCCACGCCGUAAACGAUGGGCACUAGGUGUGGGAGGUGUCGACUCCUCCCGUGCCGGAGCUAAUGCAUUAAGUGCCCCGCCUGGGGAAGUCGGCCGCAAGGCUAAAACGUCGAAAAGGAAUUGACGGGCNGAGACGNGCCGACGGACGACGACGAGGGAGGAGG
rnacentral:rRNA from 1 species